GACGAACGCUGGCGGCGUGCUUAACACAUGCAAGUCGAACGGUGAAGCGCCUUCCUUUUUGGUGGGUGUGGAUGAGUGGCGAACGGGUGAGUAACACGUGAGUAACCUGCCCCCUUCUUCUGGAUAACCGCAUGAAAGUGUGGCUAAUACGGGAUAUUCUGGGUCUGUCGCAUGAUGGGUCUGGGAAAGAUUUUGUUUCGGUGGGGGAUGGGCUCGCGGCCUAUCAGCUUGUUGGUGGGGUGAUGGCCUACCAAGGCGGUGACGAGUAGCCGGCCUGAGAGGGUGGGCGGCACUGAGAGUGAUGCGACACGGACCAGCCUACUACGGGCGGCAGCAGUGAAGAAUACUGAAUAAUGGGAGGAAGGCUGAUGCAGCGACGCGGGGUGGGGGAUGGAGGUCUUCGGGUUGUGAACCUCUUUCGCCAGAGAAGCAGGCCUUACUCGUUUGUGGGUGGGUUGACGGUAGCUGGAUAAGAAGCGACGGCUAACUACGUG
rnacentral:rRNA from 1 species